ensembl:rRNA 5S_rRNA 5S ribosomal RNA
GCCUGUAGCUAUACCACCUCAGGCUGUGACCUUGCCUGGUCUCACAAGCUAAACAAGACUAGGCCUGCUUGGUAUUUGGAUAGGAGACCUCCCAGGAAAAUUCAGAUGCUGCAAAAA